rnacentral:rRNA from 1 species
GACAGACGGGGCGAGUGUUGUCCGGAGUCACUGGGCGUAAAGCGCGCGCAGGCGGCAACCUCAGAGUCGUGUGAAAGCCCCCGGCUCAACCGGGGGAGGCCAUGGCAAACUGGGUCGCUCGAGCUGCGGAGAGGCCCCUCGAAUUGCCGGUGUAGCGGUGAAAUGCGUAGAGAUCGGCAGGAAGACCAAGGGGGAAGCCAGGGGGCGGGCCGCAGGGUGACGCUGAGGCGCGACAGCGUGGGGAGCAAACCGG